UUAUGGCUCAGAUUGAACGCUGGCGGCAGGCCUAACACAUGCAAGUCGAGCGGUAACACAGGAGAGCUUGCUCUCUGGGUGACGAGCGGCGGACGGGUGAGUAAUGUCUGGGAAACUGCCCGAUGGAGGGGGAUAACUACUGGAAACGGUAGCUAAUACCGCAUAACGUCUUCGGACCAAAGAGGGGGACCUUCGGGCCUCUUGCCAUCGGAUGUGCCCAGAUGGGAUUAGCUAGUAGGUGGGGUAAUGGCUCACCUAGGCGACGAUCCCUAGCUGGUCUGAGAGGAUGACCAGCCACACUGGAACUGAGACACGGUCCAGACUCCUACGGGAGGCAGCAGUGGGGAAUAUUGCACAAUGGGCGCAAGCCUGAUGCAGCCAUGCCGCGUGUAUGAAGAAGGCCUUCGGGUUGUAAAGUACUUUCAGCGAGGAGGAAGGCAUUAAGGUUAAUAACCUUAGUGAUUGACGUUACUCGCAGAAGAAGCACCGGCUAACUCCGUGCCAGCAGCCGCGGUAAUACGGAGGGUGCAAGCGUUAAUCGGAAUUACUGGGCGUAAAGCGCACGCAGGCGGUCUGUCAAGUCGGAUGUGAAAUCCCCGGGCUCAACCUGGGAACUGCAUUCGAAACUGGCAGGCUAGAGUCUUGUAGAGGGGGGUAGAAUUCCAGGUGUAGCGGUGAAAUGCGUAGAGAUCUGGAGGAAUACCGGUGGCGAAGGCGGCCCCCUGGACAAAGACUGACGC
rnacentral:rRNA from 1 species